GCCUGAUUGGCUCAGUCAGUGGAGUAUGUGACUUUUGAUCUCAGGGUCAUGAGUUCAAGCCUCACAUUGGGAA
rnacentral:tRNA from 1 species